CCCGGGCCUUGUACACACCGCCCGUCACACCAUGGGAGUGGGUUGUACCAGAAGCAGGUAGUUUAACCUUCGGGGAACGCUUGCCACGGUAUGGUUCAUGACUGGGGUG
rnacentral:rRNA from 1 species